rnacentral:rRNA from 1 species
CCUACGGGUGGCAGCAGUGGGGGAUAUUGCACAAUGGGGGGAACCCUGAUGCAGCGACGCCGCGUGGGUGCAGGAGCGUUUCGGCGCGUAAAGCCCUAUCGGCCGGGAAGCAGGAGGACGGUACCUGACUAAGAAGCCCCGGCUAACUACGUGCCCGCAGCCGCGGUAAUACGUAGGGGGCAAGCGUUAUCCGGAUUUACUGGGUGUAAGGGGGGCGCAGACGGCAGCGCAAGCCAGGAGUGAAAGCCCGGGGCCCAACGGCGGGACUGCUUUUGGAACUGCGCGGCUUGAGUGCAGGAGGGGCAGGCGGAAUUCAUGGUGUAGCGGUGAAAUGCGGAGAUAUC